AAGAUUCCUCCUACAGCCCAUGGGGAGUCCUCAGCACCCAUGAAAGUGAAAUACACGAUGUGGCAUGCUGAGAAAGGAGCCACACAGCUACCAGCCACAUCAGCCUUUCCUUCAGAGAUAGGAUCCAGGCAGAGCUCCAACUAUGCAACGCAGUUAGGAAGUGGGAGAGCUACCUGAAAAUGUUGCCCCAUCCCUGAAUUAGAGAAUCCCUCCAGCAGUCAUCCUCUCA